AGUCAAGUAAUUAAGUGCAUGUGGUGGAUGCCUUGGCAGUCAGAGGCGAUGAAAGACGUGAUAGCCUGCGAAAAGCUCCGGGGAGGCGGCAAAUAUCCUUUGAUCCGGAGAUGUCUGAAUGGGGGAACCCACCUACUUUAAGGUAGGUAUUGCAACAUGAAUACAUAGUGUUGCAAGGCGAACGAGGGGAAGUGAAACAUCUCAGUACCCUUAGGAAAAGAAAUCAAUUGAGAUUCCCUCAGUAGCGGCGAGCGAACGGGGAUCAGCCCAUUAAGUUAUGUGUGUUUUAGUGGAACGCUCUGGGAAGUGCGAACGUAGAGGGUGAUAUUGCCGUACACGAAAGGGCACACAUAAUGAUGACGAGUAGGGCGAGGCACGUGAAACCUUGUCUGAAUAUGGGGGGACCAUCCUCCAAGGCUAAAUACUCCUGACUGACCGAUAGUGAACCAGUACCGUGAGGGAAAGGCGAAAAGAACCCCUGUGAGGGGAGUGAAAUAGAUCCUGAAACCGCAUGCAUACAAGCAGUGGGAGCACCUUCGUGGUGUGACUGCGUACCUUUUGUAUAAUGGGUCAGCGACUUAUAUUCAGUAGCGAGGUUAACCGUAUAGGGGAGCCGUAGAGAAAUCGAGUCUUAAUAGGGCGUUUAGUUGCUGGGUAUAGACCCGAAACCAGGCGAUCUAUCCAUGAGCAGGUUGAAGGUUGGGUAACACUAACUGGAGGACCGAACCCACUGUCGUUGAAAAGCCAGGGGAUGACUUGUGGAUAGGGGUGAAAGGCUAAUCAAGCCUGGUGAUAGCUGGUUCUCCCCGAAAGCUAUUUAGGUAGCGCCUCGGACGAAUACCAUAGGGGGUAGAGCACUGUUUCGGCUAGGGGGUCAUCCCGACUUACCAAACCGAUGCAAACUCCGAAUACCUAUGAGUACUAUCCGGGAGACAGACUGCGGGUGCUAACGUCCGUAGUCAAGAGGAAAACAAUCCAGACCGCCAGCUAAGGCCCCAAAAUCAUAGUUAAGUGGGAAACGAUGUGGGAAGGCAUAGACAGCUAGGAGGUUGGCUUAGAAGCAGCCACCCUUUAAAGAAAGCGUAAUAGCUCACUAGUCGAGUCGGCCUGCGCGGAAGAUGUAACGGGGCUAAAACUAUGUGCCGAAGCUGCGGAUGUAUACUUUGUAUACGUGGUAGGGGAGCGUUCUGUAAGCCGAUGAAGGUGUGUUGAGAAGCAUGCUGGAGGUAUCAGAAGUGCGAAUGCUGACGUGAGUAACGACAAAACGGGUGAAAAACCCGUUCGCCGAAAGACCAAGGGUUCCAGUCCAACGUUAAUCGGGGCUGGGUGAGUCGACCCCUAAGGCGAGGCCGAAAGGCGUAGUCGAUGGGAAAAUGGUUAAUAUUCCAUUACUUCUGUGUAAUGCGAUGAGAGGACGGAGAAGGCUAAAUCAGCCUGGCGUUGGUUGUCCAGGUGAAAGGAUGUAGGCAUGUAUCUUAGGCAAAUCCGGGGUACUCUAUGCUGAGAUCUGAUAGCAAGCUGUACUUGUACAGCGAAGUGGUUGAUGCCAUGCUUCCAGGAAAAGUCUCUAAGCUUCAGUUACACAGGAAUCGUACCCGAAACCGACACAGGUGGUCAGGUCGAGUAGACCAAGGCGCUUGAGAGAACUCUGCUGAAGGAACUAGGCAAAAUGGUACCGUAACUUCGGGAGAAGGUACGCUGUUGUUGGUGAUGGAACUCGCUUCCUGAGCUGACGACAGCCGCAGAAACCAGGCCGCUGCAACUGUUUAUUAAAAACAUAGCACUCUGCAAACACGAAAGUGGACGUAUAGGGUGUGAUGCCUGCCCGGUGCUGGAAGGUUAAUUGAUGGGGUUAGCGUAAGCGAAGCUCUUGAUCGAAGCCCCAGUAAACGGCGGCCGUAACUAUAACGGUCCUAAGGUAGCGAAAUUCCUUGUCGGGUAAGUUCCGACCUGCACGAAUGGCAUAAUGAUGGCGGCGCUGUCUCCAGCAGAGGCUCAGUGAAAUCGAAAUCGCUGUGAAGAUGCAGUGUACCCGCGGCUAGACGGAAAGACCCCGUGAACCUUUACUGCAGCUUGACACUGAACUUUGACCUUACUUGUGUAGGAUAGGUGGGAGGCUUUGAAGCUGGAACGCUAGUUCCAGUGGAGCCGUCCUUGAAAUACCACCCUGGUAAUGUUGAGGUUCUAACUCUGUCCCGUGAUCCGGGACGAGGACCGUGUCUGGUGGGUAGUUUGACUGGGGCGGUCUCCUCCUAAAGAGUAACGGAGGAGUACGAAGGUGCGCUCAGCGUGGUCGGAAAUCACGCGUAGAGUAUAAAGGCAAAAGCGCGCUUAACUGCGAGACCCACAAGUCGAGCAGGUACGAAAGUAGGUCUUAGUGAUCCGGUGGUUCUGUAUGGAAGGGCCAUCGCUCAACGGAUAAAAGGUACUCUGGGGAUAACAGGCUGAUACCGCCCAAGAGUUCAUAUCGACGGCGGUGUUUGGCACCUCGAUGUCGGCUCAUCUCAUCCUGGGGCUGAAGCAGGUCCCAAGGGUAUGGCUGUUCGCCAUUUAAAGAGGUACGCGAGCUGGGUUUAGAACGUCGUGAGACAGUUCGGUCCCUAUCUACCGUGGGCGCUGGAAAUUUGAGAGGAUCUGCUCCUAGUACGAGAGGACCAGAGUGGACGAACCUCUGGUGUACCGGUUGUGACGCCAGUCGCAUCGCCGGGUAGCUAUGUUCGGAAGGGAUAACCGCUGAAAGCAUCUAAGCGGGAAGCCUACCUCAAGAUAAGAUUUCCCUAGGACUUUAUGUCCUCUAAAGAGCCGUUCGAGACUAGGACGUUGAUAGGUUGGAUGUGGAAGCAUAGUGAUAUGUGAAGCUGACCAAUACUAAUUGCUCGUGAGGCUUGACUAU
rnacentral:rRNA from 1 species